CUUGGUGACUAUAGCGGUGGGGGUACACCCGUUCUCAUUCCGAAUACGGUAGUUAAGCCCACCUGCGCCGAUGGUACUUGUUCCAGCGGAGCCGGGAGAGUAGGUCAUUGCCAAGC
rnacentral:rRNA from 1 species